rnacentral:rRNA from 1 species
GACGAACGCYGGCGGCGUGCCUAAUACAUGCAAGUCGAGCGAAUGACGAGGAGCUUGCUCCUCUGAUUUAGCGGCGGACGGGUGAGUAACACGUGGGCAACCUGCCCUGCAGACUGGGAUAACUUCGGGAAACCGGAGCUAAUACCGGAUAAUCCAUUUUACUUCAUGGUGAAAUGUUGAAAGGCGCUUUCGCGCCACUGCAGGAUGGGCCCGCGGUGCAUUAGCUAGUUGGUGGGGUAACGGCCUACCAAGGCGACGAUGCAUAGCCGACCUGAGAGGGUGAUCGGCCACAUUGGGACUGAGACACGGCCCAAACUCCUACGGGAGGCAGCAGUAGGGAAUCUUCCACAAUGGACGAAAGUCUGAUGGAGCAACGCCGCGUGAGUGAUGAAGGUUUUCGGAUCGUAAAACUCUGUUGUAAGGGAAGAACAAGUACGUUAGGAAAUGAACGUACCUUGACGGUACCUUAUUAGAAAGCCACGGCUAACUACGUGC